UGGAGUGUAGCUCAUUGGAAGAGCAACUGUCUGAGACAGGAGGAGAGGGUUCGAUUCCCUUAUCUCCCU
rnacentral:tRNA from 1 species